AAAUGAAUAGACGGGUCCCCGCACAAGCAGCGGAGCGUGUGGUUUAAUUCGUUGCUACACGAAGAACCUUACCUGGGUUUGACAUAGCAGUGGUAGGGAAGAGAAAUUGGACCGACCCCUCGGGGAGCUGUUACAGGUGUUGCAUGGCUGUCGUCAGCUCGUGUCGUGAGAUGUUCGGUUAAGUCCGCUAACGAGCGCAACCCGCGUUGUGUGUUACAAGUGUCACACAAUACCGCCGGUAUUAAGUCGGAGGAAGGUGCGGAUGACGUCAAGUCAGCAUGACCUUUAUAUCCAGGGCUACACACACGCUACAAUGGUCAGUACAGCAGGUUGCCAAGCCGCGAGGCGGAGCCAAUCCUAAAAAGCUGGCCACAGUUCAGAUUGCAGGCUGCAACUCGCCUGCAUGAAGUUGGAGUUGCUAGUAACCGCAGGUCAGCUAUACUGCGGUGAAUACGUUCCCGGGGAUUGUACACACCGCCCGU
rnacentral:rRNA from 1 species